rnacentral:rRNA from 1 species
GAUGAACGCUGGCGGCGUGCCUAAUACAUGCAAGUCGAGCGAACAGAUAAGGAGCUUGCUCCUUUGACGUUAGCGGCGGACGGGUGAGUAACACGUGGGUAACCUACCUAUAAGACUGGAAUAACUCCGGGAAACCGGGGCUAAUGCCGGAUAACAUUUAGAACCGCAUGGUUCUAAAGUGAAAGAUGGUUUUGCUAUCACUUAUAGAUGGACCCGCGCCGUAUUAGCUAGUUGGUAAGGUAACGGCUUACCAAGGCAACGAUACGUAGCCGACCUGAGAGGGGGAUCGCCCACACUGGAACUGAGACACGGUCCAGACUCCUACGGGAGGCAGCAGUAGGGAAUCUUCCGCAGUGGGCGAAAGCCUGACGGAGCAACGCCGCGUGAGUGAUGAAGGUCUUCGGAUCGUAAAACUCUGUUAUUAGGGAAGAACAAAUGUGUAAGUAACUGUGCACGUCUUGACGGUACCUAAUCAGAAAGCCACGGCUAACUACGUG